GACGAACGCUGGCGGCGUGCUUAACACAUGCAAGUCGAACGGAAAGGCCCUGCUUUUGUGGGGUGCUCGAGUGGCGAACGGGUGAGUAACACGUGAGUAACCUGCCCUUGACUUUGGGAUAACUUCAGGAAACUGGGGCUAAUACCGGAUAAGAGCUCCUGCUGCAUGGUGGGGGUUGGAAAGUUUCGGCGGUUGGGGAUGGACUCGCGGCUUAUCAGCUUGUUGGUGGGGUAGUGGCUUACCAAGGCUUUGACGGGUAGCCGGCCUGAGAGGGUGACCGGCCACAUUGGGACUGGGAUACGGCCCAGACUCCUACGGGAGGCAGCAGUGGGGAAUAUUGCACAAUGGGCGGAAGCCUGAUGCAGCAACGCCGCGUGCGGGAUGACGGCCUUCGGGUUGUAAACCGCUUUCGCCUGUGACGAAGCGUGAGUGACGGUAAUGGGUAAAGAAGCACCGGCUAACUACGUG
rnacentral:rRNA from 1 species